rnacentral:ncRNA from 1 species
AAGUUUCCCUCAGGAUAGCUGGAACUCUUGCAGUUAUAUUCGGUAAAGCUAAUGAUUAGAGGCCUUGGGGACGUAAUGUCCUCAACCUAUUCUCAAACUUUCAAUGGAUAUGGCGUCGCAGUUUCUUUAGUGAACUGCGGCGUGAAUGCGAGUUCCAAGUGGGCCAUUUUUGGUAAGCAGAACUGGCGCUGUGGGAUGAACCAAACGUGGAGUUAAGGUGCCUAACUUCUCGCUUAUGAGACCCCAUAAAAGGUGUUGGUUGAUAUUGACAGCAGGACGGUGGCCAUGGAAGUCGGUACCCGACUAAGGAGUGUGUAACAACUCACCUGCCGAAUCAACUAGCCCUGAAAAUGGAUGGCGCUUAAGCGAGAGACCUAUACUCCGCCGUCGCGGCAUGUGCGUUGUCUAGCGCCAGGUCGCGACGAGUAGGAAGGACGUGGCGGUUGCGUUGAAGGCUAUGAGCGUAGGCUCGGCUGGAGCUUCCGUCAGUGCAGAUCGUAAUGGUAGUAGCAAAUAUUCAAGUUCGAUCCUUGAAGACUGAAGUGGAGAAGGGUUCCACGUGAACAGUAGUUGGAUGUGGGUCAGUCGAUCCUAAGGUACUGGCGAAAGCCUUGUAUCAUCGGUGGCGAAAAGCUUGCUUUUUGUCCCCGCCCGUCGAAAGGGAAUAGGGUUAAUAUUCCCUAACUGAGAUGCAAAGAUUGUGUUCUUCGGAGCACAAGCGCGGUAACGCGUUCGAACUUGGUAAGUCGCUCAGAGACCGAGCUAGAGUUUUCUUCUCUAGUUAAGGAACGGACUCCCUGGAAUUGGUUCAGCCAGAGAUGGGGACGUUGUUUCCGAAAAGCACCGCGGUUUCUUGGUGUCUCGUGCUCUCUGAACGGCCCUUUAAACACCAAGGGAGGCUAUUAAUUUGCACUCAAUCGUACCGAUAUCCGCAUUAGGUCUCCAAGGUGAACAGCCUCUAGUCGAUAGAAUAAUGUAGGUAAGGGAAGUCGGCAAACUAGAUCCGUAACUUCGGGAAAAGGAUUGGCUCCAGUGGUCGGAACGGUUGGCCAGUUGGUUGAUGCUUGUCCGGCGCUGUUCUGUCUGCUUGAUGCUUUCGGGCUGAUGGCGGCCUAGUGAUAGUGCUUGCUUGUUGACGCUUUCUGGUGUGUGCUUUGACCUCGGUCUUAGUAUCCUGAUCGUUCAUCUAAACGACUAAACUGGAACCGGUACGGACUCAGGGAAUCCGACUGUCUAAUUAAAACAGAGGUGACAGAUGGUCCUUGCGGACGCUGACUGUCACUGAUUUCUGCCCAGUGCUCUGAAUGUUAAAUCGUAGUAAUUCGAGUAAGCGCGGGUAAACGGCGGGAGUAA